UUGUUACGCUCACCAUAGUCCAAACAGCUUUAUACACCUUUUCCUCGUGUGUUUGAACUUGUCCUAUACUCUAGUGUCCUGAAAUGUACAUUUUUGUUCGGUUCUUUACCUGGUGACGGGGGCGGCCAACGAUAGAGGGGAACACGGCCCUGGGGGCAUCGUCUCCGGCGAAGCCAGCCUUGACCAGUCCGGAGCCGUUGUCGCACACGAGGGCGGUAGUCUCAUCGUCGUCACACAUGUUGGCUUCUAUGGGGCGAAACAGCUCCUCUGCUGCCGGUUUUAAGCCAACUUGUGAGGUGACUCCAUGCCUGGAUGUGUCACGAAGAAGCCUCCCCUCCCCAGCCACACUUCAGGAGUCCCGGCGUGUUGGUCUUACCUUGGGUGAGUGUCUGCGGCUCGGAGAGAGAAAGACCCAACCAGUGCUGCUGCUGAACCAGCUACAAUCCUCCCUGCUGCCAGGCCCUGCUUAUAUACACGCCCUACCACCAUUCACAAAAGGUGCCCACACCGGCCCUCUGCCAUAUUAGGAUGCUGCCAGGGCCUGAGGACUUGGGGGUGCAGAGAAUCUGUCACGGCCAUCCAUCAACUUUCAGAUGUAGGGUGGGGGGGAUCAUGAAUGACAGCGCGCGCCCCCUCUGCCAUAUAUGGAACUGUCGCUUUGACCUCCCGUAGAGGCUGGCGGGCACUCCUUAGGGCCGUAAAAGGAGCCCACGGGCCCCUGGGGGUAGGUGGGUGCUUGGUGGGGUGUGGUUUCCAGGAGGUGGGGGAUGCCAGUUGCUACCAAGCUGGGUUGCUGCAAGUCGGCCUCAUCCAGCCUUAAAAUGGGAAAAUGCUGCCAUCAUCAGUGGUUGAAAGGUCAAUCAUUUGGUCAAUGCAAUUAAUGGGAAAAAAAUAGAUCAGGGAAGGAGGGGAUUAAUGUUUUAAUGCAAAAUACCUUAUAUUGUGCAUGUCAUAGCUGAAUGCAUUUUUACAUCAAAUGACAUACUGAAUUGCAUGCUGUUACAAAAUUAUUACUGUGACAUAAAUUUAUAAUUUAUUACCUUGCAAAUCCCCUAUUCUAUCUAAUGGUCAGGGACAACAUCAAGCCUAUCCCAGCCUAAUUGAGUAAAUAAGGAAGGAAAGCUUAUCUGUCUGCAAUACCGGAGUACUUGGAUUAAUUAUAACUCACCCAAGUGUGUGUGUAAGCAUAAAGGAAGAGAAGUAACGCUAUACAGUGUGUACAUGGAGCGCACGUAUCUGUGUGUGUGUGUCUGUGUGCAUGUGUGUGUUAGCAGGUGUGACCGCCGUCGGCAUGAGGGGCCAUAAGAAGUGAAAGAGGAGCAGCCAAGGAGGUUAAAAUAAACCUUUGGAGAGACGUUGCGGGAGGGGAAACUACACAAGGAAAAUAGGACAAUCACAAUGUGGCUCUUUUGGGGCUGUGCAACUAGAGGUGGCACUUUUGUGACUUCUGCGGUGCUUUUUUGUGAACUUUUGGAUCUGCCUGGGAGAGUUUUUUGGCCAUGGCCAUGUUUGCACCGGAGACCAGAGACAGGGCUGCGGAGCUAGCGUUGUGCCUCGAGAUGGACAAGCUUCACGGAGCUGAAUGAGCAUGUUUUGGACACUUCUGUCCCCCUGGAGGGAUUCAUCGCUCAUUCGCGCGGAGUGGACAUUGGCCAACAGCUAGUGGGCAGCCUAGGACGGAGUCGGCUCUCUUGGUUGCUUUGUUUAUUCUUUUCCUGUCCCUGGUGCCAUCGUUUGUGCGCAAUUUGGAUUAUUUAUGGCAAUUUUUUUGUUUUUCGUUGUUUUACUUUUGUAACUGUAUGUAGAAAUGGCGCCACUGAAGUGGCAGCUGGUUGCAUCAGCUCUGUGUUCUUUUUAUGUCUUAUAUGUCCUUUAUGUUCUUUGAUGUUUCCCUCUCGUUCUCAUGUGUUUUACCCUAUUUUUGCGGACUUUUUGUAUGUGCACUGCAACCAGAUAAUUUCCCACUGUGGGAUAAAUAAAGCCU